CCUACGGGAGGCAGCAGUGGGGAAUAUUGGGCAAUGGGCGCAAGCCUGACCCAGCAACGCCGCGUGAAGGAAGAAGGCUUUCGGGUUGUAAACUUCUUUUGUCAGGGAAGAGGAAAAUACGGUACCUGACGAAUAAGCCACGGCUAACUACGUGCCAGCAGCCGCGGUAAUACGUAGGGGGCAAGCGUUGUCCGGAUUUACUGGGUGUAAAGGGCGUGUAGGCGGGUUGACAAGUCAGAUGUGAAAUCCUGCGGCUUAACCGCAGAACUGCAUUUGAAACUGUUGAUCUUGAGUACUGGAGAGGCAGGUGGAAUUCCGAGUGUAGCGGUGAAAUGCGUAGAUAUUAGGAGGAACACCAGUGGCGAAGGCGGUCUGCUGGACAGCAACUGACGGUGAGGCGCGAAAGCGUGGGGAGCAAACAGGAUUAGAUACCCCAGUAGUC
rnacentral:rRNA from 1 species